rnacentral:rRNA from 1 species
AGAGACYGCAAGCGUUACUCGGAUUCACUGGGCGUAAAGGGAGCGCAGGCGGACCGGUGUGUCAGAUGUGAAACCCCAGGGCUCAACCCUGGGACUGCGUCUGAAACUGCCGGUCUAGGGACUCGGAGGGGCUAGUGGAAUUCCUGGUGGAGCAGUGAAAUGCGUAGAUAUCAGGAGGAACACCAACGGCGAAGGCAGCUAGCUGGACGAGAUCCGACGCUCAGGCUCGAAAGUAUGGGGAGCAAAAAGGAUUAGAUACCCUUGUAGUCCAUACUGUAAACGUUGUUGAUUAGGUCUUGGAGCAUUCGAACGCUCCAGGGCUCAAGCUAACGCAAUAAAUCAACCGCCUGAGGACUACGGCCGCAAGGCUA